GACGAACGCUGGCGGCGUGCUUAACACAUGCAAGUCGAGCGGAAAGGCCUGCUUUCCCUUGUGGAUUGCGGGUACUCGAGUGGCGAACGGGUGAGUAACACGUGAGUGAUCUGCCCCCAACUUGGGUAUAAGCCUGGGAAACUGGGUCUAAUUCCCGAUAGGACUGCAGGGUGGUGCCUGUGGUGGAAAACGAUUUUCUAGUGGUUGGGGAUGAGCUCGCGGCCUAUCAGCUUGUGGGUGGGGUAAUGGCCUACCAAGGCGGCGACGGGUAGCCGGCCUGAGAGGGUGGACGGCCACAUUGGGACUGAGAUACGGCCCAGACUCCUACGGGAGGCAGCAGUGGGGAAUAUUGCACAAUGGGCGGAAGCCUGAUGCAGCGACGCCGCGUGGGGGAUGACGGCCUUCGGGUUGUAAACUCCUUUCGACCGCGAGGAAGCCACCUGGUUGGAAGGGUGGUGACGGUAGUGGUAGAAGAAGCACCGGCUAACUACGUG
rnacentral:rRNA from 1 species